ensembl:misc_RNA
UGGACCCGGCGCCUUGCCCCCAGAUCUGCAUCGGAAUGCAGAAAAGAUCUUUAAAAAAAAAAAAAAAAGUUUUGAAUUCCUCAAUGAUUUUUCUUCUGGAAAGGCAGCUUAGGAUAAUUAUUUCAGCUUUAUUGAGGGCAGAUUAGUUGAAGUCUGGGCGCUGCGUUUCAAUACGCGUUGUACACGGGCCGACAAUGUGG